UUAAUGUCCUGUCACCCUCAGUGUCCCUCAGUGUCCCUCAGUGUCCCCUCGAUGUCCCCUGGUGUCCCCUGGUGUCCCCUGGUGUCCCCUCAGUGUCCCCUCAGUGUCCCCUGGUGUCCCCUCAAUGUCCCCUGGUGUCCCCUGGUGUCCCCUCAAUGUCCCCUCAGUGUCCCCUCAAUGUCCCCUCAAUGUCCCCCGGUGUCCCCUCAGUUCCCCUGUCACCCUCAGUGUCCCCUCAAUGUCCCCUGGUGUCCCCUCAGUGUCCCCUGGUGUCCCCUCAGUGUCCCCUCAGUGUCCCCUCAGUGUCCCCUCAAUGUCCUGUCACCCUCAGUGUCCCCUCAAUGUCCCCUCAAUGUCCCCUCAGUGUCCCCUCAGUGUCCCCUCAGUGUCCCCUGGUGUCCCCUCAAUGUCCCCUCAGUGUCCCCUGGUGUCCCCUCAGGUGAUCACGCCCCGGGGCAGCCGCUCUUUCGGCUGCGCCUCCCUGGCCGAGCGCGACCGCUGGAUCGAGGAACUGCGCCGGACGGCCCGGCCCAACAAGGUGGGACAGCUGGGGACACCUGGGGACACCUGGGGACACCUGGGGACAUCCUGGGGAUACCUGGGGACAGCUGGGGACACCCUGGGGACACCUGGGAACAUCCUGGGGGCACCUCAGGGACAGCUGGGGACAGCUGGGGACACCCUGGGGACACCUGGGGACACCUGGGGAUACCCUGGGGACACCUGGGAACAUCCUGGGGGCACCUCAGGGACAGCUGGGGACAGCUGGGGACAGCUGGGGACACCUCAGGGACAGCUGGGGACAGCUGGGGACAGCUGGGGACACCUGGGGACAUCCUGGGGACACCUCAGGGACAGCUGGGGACAGCUGGGGACACCCUGGGGACAUCUGGGGACACCUCGGGUACAUCCUGGGGACACCAGGGGACAUCUGGGGACACCUGGGGACACCUGGGGAUAGCUGGGGACACCUGGGGACAUCUGGGGACAUCCUGGGGACACCUUGGGGACACCCUCGGGACACCCUGGGGACACCUGGGGACACCUCGGGGACACCUGGGGACACCUGGGACACCCUGGGGUCACCAUGGGGACACCCUGGGGACACCUUGGGGACACCCUGGGGACACCUUGAGGACCUUGAGGACCUUGAGGACACCUUGGGGACACCCUGCCACCGCCAGUUCCCACACAAGGCUCUCCUGUCCUUGGGCUGGGCGGGGAAACUGAGGCACGAACCGCCCGGCACGGAGCGUCCG
rnacentral:lncRNA from 1 species